rnacentral:rRNA from 1 species
GAUGAACGCUGGCGGCGUGCUUAACACAUGCAAGUCGAACGAAGCCCUUUUUUUGAUUUCCUUCGGGACUGAUUAUUUUGUGACUGAGUGGCGGACGGGUCAGUAACUCGUGGUUAACCUGCCUUGUCCAGGGGGAUAACAGUUGGAAACAGCUGCUAAUACCGCAUAAGCGCACAGCAUCGCUUGAUGCAGUGUGAAAAACUCCGGUGGUAUAAGAUGGAGCCGCGUUGGAUUAGCUAGUUGGUGAGGUAACGGCCCACCAAGGCGGCGAUCCAUAGCCGAGAUGUGAGAGAGGCCGGCGACACUGGGACUAGGAAGCAGCCCAGAAUCCUACGGGAGGCAGGAGAGGCGAAUAUUGCACAACGGGCGAAAGCAAGAUGCAGCGACGGCGCGAAAGCGAAGAUGUAGUGCGGUAAGUAAAGCAGGAUCAGAAGGGGAGAUAAUGACGGUACCUGAAGAAGAAGCACCGGCUAAAUACGUG